CGAAUGGAGCGAGCGUUGUUCGGAAUCACUGGGCGUAAAGCGUGCGCAGGCGGUUGUGAAAGUCAGAAGUGAAAUCCCAGGGCUCAACCCUGGAAUUGCUUUUGAAACUUCACGACUAGAGUACUGGAGGGGUUGGCGGAAUUUCGAGUGUAGCAGUGAAAUGCGUAGAUAUUCGAAGGAACACCGAUGGCGUAGGCAGCCAACUGGACAGUUACUGACGCUCAGGCACGAAAGCGUGGGGAUCAAACAGGAUUAGAUACCCUGGUAGUCCACGCCGUAAACGAUGUGUGCUAGUUGUCGGGAUCUUAGAUCUCGGUGACGCAGCUAACGCUUUAAGCACACCGCCUGGGGAGUACGGUCGCAAGAUUA
rnacentral:rRNA from 1 species